rnacentral:sRNA from 1 species
UCAAUAAAAACAUACGCUCUAUCAUAUC